rnacentral:rRNA from 1 species
GAUGAACGCUGGCGGCGUGCCUAAUACAUGCAAGUCGAGCGAAUGGAUUAAGAGCUUGCUCUUAUGAAGUUAGCGGCGGACGGGUGAGUAACACGUGGGUAACCUGCCCAUAAGACUGGGAUAACUCCGGGAAACCGGGGCUAAUACCGGAUAACAUUUUGAACCGCAUGGUUCGAAAUUGAAAGGCGGCUUCGGCUGUCACUUAUGGAUUGACCCGCGUCGCAUUAGCUCGUUGGUGAGGUAACGGCUCACCAAGAGAACGAUGCGUAGCCGACCUGAGAGGGUGAUCGGCUACACUGGGAAUGAGACACGGCCCAGACUCCUACGGGAGGCAGCAGUAGGGAAUCUUCCGCAAUGGACGAAAGUCUGACGGAGCAACGCCGCGUGAGUGAUGAAGGCUUUCGGGUCGUAAAACUCUGUUGUUAGGGAAGAACAAGUGCUAAUUGAAUAAGCUGGCACCUUGACGGUACCUAACCAGAAAGCCACGGCUAACUACGUGCCAGCCGCCGCGGUAA